rnacentral:rRNA from 1 species
CCCUUAGAUGUUCUGGUCUGCACGCGUGCUACAAUGGCGCUUGCAACAAGUCUUGCCAACCCGAUAGGGUGAGCGGAUCUUUGAAGAGGCGUCGUGAUCGGGACAGUUGAUUGCAAUUAUUCGACUCGAACGAGGAAUUCCUUGUAAUCGCGAUUCAUCAUAUCGCGCUGAAUACGUCCCUGCCCUUUGUACACACCGCCCGUCGCUCCUACCGAUUGAGCGAUCCGGUGAAUGUUUUGGACUGGCGUCAGAAGCGGUUCGCUCCUGACACUACGAAAUUUUGUAAACCUUAUCGCUUAGAGGAAGGAAAAGUCGUAACA